rnacentral:tRNA from 1 species
UGGGGUGUCGUCUAACGGCAAGACAACGGUUUUUGGUACCGUGAAUGUUGGUUCGAUUCCAGCCGCCCCAA